AGCUCCAAUAGCGUAUAUUAAAGCUGUUGCAGUUAAAAAGCUCGUAGUCGGAUGUCGGGAAGCGGCCAAUGGUUCGGUUCCGUGCCGAUACUGCUGGUCGAGGCCUCCACGUCGUCUGUCUUCUGGUGCGCUUAACUGUGUGCCAGGAGCGGUCGGAGCGUUUACUUUGAAAAAAUUAGAGUGUUCAAGGCAGGCCUUACGAGCCUGAAUGAUGGUGCAUGGAAUAAUGGAAUAGGACCUCGGUUCUAUUUUGUUGGUCUUCGGAAUUGGAGGUAAUGAUAAAUAGGGACGGACGGGGGCAUUCGUAUUGCGACGUUAGAGGUGAAAUUCUUGGAUCGUCGCAAGACGGACUACAGCGAAAGCAUUUGCCAAGAAUGUUUUCA
rnacentral:rRNA from 1 species